GAGUUUGAUUCUGGCUCAGAUUGAACGCUGGCGGCAUGCUUUACACAUGCAAGUCGAACGGCAGCACAAGGAGCUUGCUCCUGGGUGGCGAGUGGCGAACGGGUGAGUAAUGUAUCGGAGCGUGCCUGGUAGUGGGGGAUAACCACUCGAAAGAGUGGCUAAUACCGCAUGAGAUCUCUGGAUGAAAGCGGGGGACCUUUUGGCCUCGCGCUACUGGAGCGGCCGAUAUCAGAUUAGGUAGUUGGUGGGGUAAAGGCCUACCAAGCCUGCGAUCUGUAGCUGGUCUGAGAGGACGACCAGCCACACUGGGACUGAGACACGGCCCAGACUCCUACGGGAGGCAGCAGUGGGGAAUUUUGGACAAUGGGCGCAAGCCUGAUCCAGCAAUGCCGCGUGCAGGACGAAGGCCCUCGGGUUGUAAACUGCUUUUGUACAGAACGAAAACUCUCUGGUUAAUACCUGGGGAG
rnacentral:rRNA from 1 species